UACGGGGGGAGCAAGCGUUGUUCGGAUUUACUGGGCGUAAAGGGCGCGUAGGCGGUCAGCACAAGUCAGUUGUGAAAUCUCCGAGCUUAACUCGGAAAGGUCAACUGAUACUGUGCGACUAGAGUGCAGAAGGGGCAACUGGAAUUCUCGGUGUAGCGGUGAAAUGCGUAGAUAUCGAGAGGAACACCUGCGGCGAAGGCGGGUUGCUGGGCUGACACUGACGCUGAGGCGCGAAAGCUAGGGGAGCAAACAGG
rnacentral:rRNA from 1 species